UGAGAAUUGCAAGUGUAGCCUGUUGGAAAGAGAUUAUUUUAUUUUAUUUUAUCAUAUUUUAUUUUUGUGCAGUGAACUUCCCAAAACUAUUUUUCUAGUUAUUUUAAGUCAAUUAAUUUCACUGAGUGUUAGAUUCCUGCACAGGUCAUGUUAUGUUGUGAGUGGGAACCAUUGAUUGUAGCGUUUGUUCGAAUGGGAUGCUUGUCUGUGUUGCGCACUAUUCUUUUUGGGAGUGCGUGAGUUGCGUCAGCCUCAGACCGCGAGUGGACGCUGAUGAGGCAGGACGCACAUUUUCUCUCUCUUCUUCCAGCCAUAGUUGUGUUUAACGGAAGAAGUUAGCGCAACGGAUGUUUCUCUUAUCAAGUGUCCUAUGUGUUUCAGCCUCAGACCGCGAGUGGACGCUGAUGAGGCAGGACGCACAUUUUCUCUCUCUUCUUCCAGCCAUAGUUGUGUUUAACGGAAGAAGUUAGCGCAACGGAUGUUUCUCUUAUCAAGUGUCCUAUGUGUUUCAGAAUCGGAUCUGCUACACAAGAAAAAAAGUCAGAAUUGCAAGUAAAAAAGUCAAAAUUGCAAGAAAAAAAAGUCUGAAUUGUGAUAUAAACUCGCAAUUGCGAGAAAAGUCAGAAUUGCGAAAGAAAAUUCAGAAUUGCGAGGAAAAAAGUCAGAAUUGUGAGAUAUAAACUCGCAAUUGCAAGAAACAUCAGAAUUGUGAGAAAAAAAGCCAGAAUUGCGAAAAAAAAGGUCAGAAUUGCAAGGGAAAAAGUCAGAAUUGCGAGAUAUAAACUCACAAUUGCAAGAAAAGUAAGAAUUGCAAGAAAAAAAAGUCUGAAUUGCGAUAUAAACUCGCAAUUGCAAGAAAAGCCAGAAUUGUGAGAAAAAAGUCAGAAUUGCAAGGAAAAAUGUCAGAAUUACAAAAUAUAAACUCGCUAUUGCGAGAAAAAAGUCACAAUUGUGAGAUAUAAACUCGCAAUUGCAAGAAACAUCAGAAUUGUGAGAAAAAAAAGCCAGAAUUGCGAAAAAAGGUCAGAAUUGCAAGGGAAAAAGUCAGAAUUGCGAGAUAUAAACUCGCUAUUGCGAGGAAAAAAGUCUUGCAUCUGAUAACGGAAUUCUUCCUAAAUUGUAACACUGAAAUAAGCAUUUUCUGUAAAGCUGCUUUGAAAAAUAAAUAUAAAUAACAUAAAAUAAUAUUAAAAAAUACAAAGUUAUAUACUUAUAAUAAAAUAUAGUAAUAUUAUUAUGAAUAAUUAUAAAAAAAUAAUUGAAUAGAUAAAUCUAUAUGCAUCAAUCAACAAGGUCACUCCACUGCUGGACAAUAGACAUCAUGAGCCUUUAUAUGCAUUACAUAUGCAUAACGCAAGUAUAAAAUAUCAUCAUGUCUAGCGCUGAUUUGAGCACAAAAUCAUCCCCAGCUGUGAAAAUGGCAUUAGAUAUAUUUCUAAUUACAAAAUGUAUCUAAUUCCAUUUUUGUUUUUUUUCAACCAGCGAUAGCCGAAAAAAACAGGAAGUGAUAGCCAGUGUGUCCAAUAAAUAAGUAUGUUCCUUCUCCCUCUCUGCCAACUUGAACCCGCUCGCCUCCGGAUCGGAUGAGGAGGACCAGCUGUGUUCAGCUGACCGGCCUCAGGCCCCGCAACAGCACAGGGGCCAAAUCAUAUUCUGGAGAGGAAGUUGGUUUAAUAAGGUUCACAUCAAACCCAUCAGGAUCCAAACAGAGAGCAGCGCUCAAACACUAACACAUGCUGGAGCUUUAGUGUCUCCUCUGCACUACAGAUGGAGAUGUUAGAUUCAACCAGCAGUGAUGCUCAGACAAAAACUAUCACUCAAAAAUAAGAUGCAUUCUUUUCUAUACAUAUCCUCACUUAUUUACUUUUUUCUUAUAAAUGUGUAAGGCUCAUGAUGUCCACUGUCCAGCAGUGGAGUGACCCUGCUGAUUACUGAAUGUAACUGUAGAUUUAUCUAUUAAAGGUGCAAUAUGUAAGAUUUUCUGUCUGCUAGAGGCCUAUUCAAAACAAAGGCGUAGCUUGAUGACGCCAAGUUUGAGCGCAGAAUCUUGGGACAUGUGGUCUUCACCUCACAGCCGGUGGAAAAGAAUUGGGAUAGGACUCAGGAAGAAAUCAUGUUCAUGGAUGCGAUUAUUAACGUUACUGUAGUAUGAAGCAGAGCAGGACCGAGUGUUGUGGGAGCUGAACGAGGCCGCUGGAGCGAUUGCGUAACACACGCCUCACGAGCAGCAGAACUUUUAUUAUGCUACAGUCGCCGGCACCGCUUCCGUUUUUUCCGGUCAUGAGUAUGAGGUAACACAGCUCUGUUUAUCAUAUUAGAUACAUUUGAGUGUGUUGAAAAUGUUAUAAUGUUACUCUGUGCGUUCGCUCGGCGGCUGCUUUGAGACUCUUGUUGCACACUGCAGUAAGAUAGAUCGAUUUUAGAAUAUCAUAUUAAAUGCUGGAUGGCUUGUGUUAAUAAAUGGCAUGCAAUUAAUUUUAAAAUGUAUUGUAUGAUGGAGAAAAUUCUGCUGCAUCUGAUUAUGCUAUGUUAGCUACUUCACAAAAUAGUGUUUUUCUCUGAGGCAUGGUAAAGCAUGGUACUCGCAAAAAAAAAAAAAAAAAAAAACAAACAAGAAAAUUAGAUUUAAGCAAUAAGACUAAACAUGUUGAGCUAUAUAACAAUAAUUAGUUUUCUGUCUAUAAAUGUAUCAAAACAGUUGUUCCCUUGCCUAUUAAAACAUGUAAAUAUUAAAGCGUCUUUGGUGUUUCCAUGGUUUCUACAAAAUAAAACCGGAAACCGAUGGUUACGCGGGUAUGACGCAAUUGACAGGCGACUCCUCACACGUCCCGGAGCCUUGGUUAAAAUUUGUUAGGAUUUCUCAGGAUUUACAAAUAGUUGCAAACAUUUGGGAUAUUGUAAGCACUCGAGUGAACAAAAUAUAUAUAACACUGGCCUAGUGGUUUUUGGAUAUUUUACUGCAAAAUUCUUACAUAUUGCACCUUUAAUUUUUUUUUUUCCAAUAAUUAUUAAUUUUUUUAUUCAUAAUAUGCAUAUAUAUUAAUUAUAUGUAUACAAUUUAUUUAAAUUUUUUAUCACUAUUAUUUUAGAUUUUUUAUCUUUUUCUUUAUUAUUAUUAUUCAUAAUAUCCAUGUUUUUUAUAUGUAUAACAUUUAUUUAUUUAAUUUUUUUGAAUUAUUUUUUAUAUUCUUGUUUUUAUUGAUCUAUUUCUUUAGUAUUGUUCAUAGCAAUACUCCUAUAUUUUUAUUAUAUUGCAUAAUUUGUUAU